rnacentral:rRNA from 1 species
GUGGAUUAGAUACCCGAGUAGUCCACGCCCUAAACGAUGUCAACUAGUUGUUGGGGAUUCAUUUCCUUAGUAACGUAGCUAACGCGUGAAGUUGACCGCCUGGGGAGUACGGUCGCAAGAUUAAAACUCAAAGGAAUUGACGGGGACCCGCACAAGCGGUGGAUGAUGUGGAUUAAUUCGAUGCAACGCGAAAAACCUUACCUACCCUUGACAUGCCACUAACGAAGCAGAGAUGCAUUAGGUGCUCGAAAGAGAAAGUGGACACAGGUGCUGCACGGCCGUCGUCAGCU